ACAAGGUUUUUACAUGUUAGAAAAGAUGUGUCUGCAUGCUCGUAAUAACUGUUGUGACAGUUAGGUGGAGGUGUUGUAUCAGCUUUGCAUCUUGUUGCAUUUAUUCAAGAAUUGUUCAAUAAAAAGCAUUGUGCCCAAAA